rnacentral:rRNA from 1 species
AGAGUUUGAUCAUGGCUCAGAUUGAACGCUGGCGGCAGGCCUAACACAUGCAAGUCGAACGGUAACAGGAAGCAGCUUGCUGCUUUGCUGACGAGUGGCGGACGGGUGAGUAAUGUCUGGGAAACUGCCUGAUGGAGGGGGAUAACUACUGGAAACGGUGGCUAAUACCGCAUAAUGUCGCAAGACCAAAGAGGGGGACCUUCGGGCCUCUUGCCAUCAGAUGUGCCCAGAUGGGAUUAGCUGGUUGGUGAGGUAACGGCUCACCAAGGCGACGAUCCCUAGCUGGUCUGAGAGGAUGACCAGCCACACUGGAACUGAGACACGGUCCAGACUCCUACGGGAGGCAGCAGUGGGGAAUAUUGCACAAUGGGCGCAAGCCUGAUGCAGCCAUGCCGCGUGUAUGAAGAAGGCCUUCGGGUUGUAAAGUACUUUCAGCGGGGAGGAAGGUGUUGUGGUUAAUAACCGCAGCAAUUGACGUUACCCGCAGAAGAAGCACCGGCUAACUCCGUGCCAGCAGCCGCGGUAAUACGGAGGGUGCAAGCGUUAAUCGGAAUUACUGGGCGUAAAGCGCACGCAGGCGGUCUGUCAAGUCGGAUGUGAAAUCCCCGGGCUCAACCUGGGAACUGCAUUCGAAACUGGCAGGCUUGAGUCUUGUAGAGGGGGGUAGAAUUCCAGGUGUAGCGGUGAAAUGCGUAGAGAUCUGGAGGAAUACCGGUGGCGAAGGCGGCCCCCUGGACAAAGACUGACGCUCAGGUGCGAAAGCGUGGGGAGCAAACAGGAUUAGAUACCCUGGUAGUCCACGCCGUAAACGAUGUCUACUUGGAGGUUGUGCCCUUGAGGCGUGGCUUCCGGAGCUAACGCGUUAAGUAGACCGCCUGGGGAGUACGGCCGCAAGGUUAAAACUCAAAUGAAUUGACGGGGGCCCGCACAAGCGGUGGAGCAUGUGGUUUAAUUCGAUGCAACGCGAAGAACCUUACCUGGUCUUGACAUCCACGGAAGUUUUCAGAGAUGAGAAUGUGCCUUCGGGAACCGUGAGACAGGUGCUGCAUGGCUGUCGUCAGCUCGUGUUGUGAAAUGUUGGGUUAAGUCCCGCAACGAGCGCAACCCUUAUCCUUUGUUGCCAGCGAUUAGGUCGGGAACUCAAAGGAGACUGCCAGUGAUAAACUGGAGGAAGGUGGGGAUGACGUCAAGUCAUCAUGGCCCUUACGACCAGGGCUACACACGUGCUACAAUGGCGCAUACAAAGAGAAGCGACCUCGCGAGAGCAAGCGGACCUCAUAAAGUGCGUCGUAGUCCGGAUUGGAGUCUGCAACUCGACUCCAUGAAGUCGGAAUCGCUAGUAAUCGUGGAUCAGAAUGCCACGGUGAAUACGUUCCCGGGCCUUGUACACACCGCCCGUCACACCAUGGGAGUGGGUUGCAAAAGAAGUAGGUAGCUUAACCUUCGGGAGGGCGCUUACCACUUUGUGAUUCAUGACUGGGGUGAAGUCGUAACAAGGUAACCGUAGGGGAACCUGCGGUUGGAUCACCU